rnacentral:rRNA from 1 species
AUACGUAGGGUGCGAGCGUUGUCCGGAAUUACUGGGCGUAAAGAGCUCGUAGGUGGUUUGUCGCGUCGUCUGUGAAAUUCCGGGGCUUAACUCCGGGCGUGCAGGCGAUACGGGCAUAACUUGAGUACUGUAGGGGAGACUGGAAUUCCUGGUGUAGCGGUGAAAUGCGCAGAUAUCAGGAGGAACACCGGUGGCGAAGGCGGGUCUCGGGGCAGUAACUGACGCUGAGGAGCGAAAGCAUGGGUAGCGAACAGGAUUAGAUACCCUGGUAGUCCAUGCCGUAAACGGUGGGCGCUAGGUGUAGGGGUCUUCCACGACUUCUGUGCCGUAGCUAACGCAUUAAGCGCCCCGCCUGGGGAGUACGGCCGCAAGGCUAAAACUUAAAGGAAUUGACGGGG